rnacentral:rRNA from 1 species
AACGAACGCUGGCGGCAUGCCUAACACAUGCAAGUCGAACGAGACCUCCGGGUCUAGUGGCGCACGGGUGCGUAACGCGUGGGAACCUGCCCUUAGGUUCGGAAUAACUCCCCGAAAGGGGUGCUAAUACCGGAUAAUGUCUUCGGACCAAAGAUUUAUCGCCUUUGGAUGGGCCCGCGUUGGAUUAGCUAGUUGGUAGGGUAAAAGCCUACCAAGGCGACGAUCCAUAGCUGGUCUGAGAGGAUGAUCAGCCACACUGGGACUGAGACACGGCCCAGACUCCUACGGGAGGGAGGAGUGGGGAAUAUUGGACAAUGGGGGAAGGCCUGAUCCAGCAAGGCCGCGUAAGUGAUGAAGGCCUUAGGGUUGUAAAGCUCUUUUACCCGGGAUGAUAAUGACGGUACCGGGAGAAUAAGCACCGGCUAACUCCGUG